rnacentral:rRNA from 1 species
CCUACGGGCGGCUGCAGUGGGGAAUAUUGGACAAUGGGGGCAACCCUGAUCCAGCCAUGCCGCGUGUGUGAAGAAGGCCCUCGGGUUGUAAAGCACUUUCAGUGAGGAAGAACGCCUGGUGGUUAAUACCCAUCAGGAAAGACAUCACUCACAGAAGAAGCACCGGCUAACUCCGUGCCAGCAGCCGCGGUAAUACGGAGGGUGCGAGCGUUAAUCGGAAUUACUGGGCGUAAAGCGCGCGUAGGUGGCUUGAUAAGCCGGUUGUGAAAGCCCCGGGCUCAACCUGGGAACGGCAUCCGGAACUGUCAAGCUAGAGUGCAGGAGAGGAAGGUAGAAUUCCCGGUGUAGCGGUGAAAUGCGUAGAGAUCGGGAGGAAUACCAGUGGCGAAGGCGGCCUUCUGGACUGACACUGACACUGAGGUGCGAAAGCGUGGGUAGCAAACAGGAUUAGAUGCCCCGGUAGUC